rnacentral:lncRNA from 1 species
AGAUUAAUAAAUUGAGGAAUGCAGGACAUAUUCCGAUAGUCAUACACUUCAUCGAAUUGGAUCGUACAUUCUGCUUCUUACACCUCCCAAAAAUAUUACAGAGAGAGUAAAAUGGAAAAAGAAAAAAGUUUAAAAGUGCAAGAGGAAAAACCCAUGGGGUGCAAGAAGAAACCCCUAAAAUAUGAUAAUUUGUAAACUCUAUUUAACAGCCCAAGAAGCCACAAAGAGUCCAGUUUGUUCAUCAAACUCGUUUCGUUUCUCACAUUGAUUGAUUGCUUGCUUUGCUUAUUCAUUCCCCAGUUCAUCAUAUCUCCAUUAUUCCCUUCUCGAUUCCUCUAACUUCAUCAUAGAAAACCAUAAACACACCACAGCAUCAGAAUAAAAACCCAGAAUAUUCUGUUUUUCCAUUCCAACAAAAAUACAAAACACAAAGUAGGUUAAAAAAAAACUAAAAAAUAAUGGGAACGUCGUUAGCGUCGUUGCAAAGCUGGGUUCUUUUGCCAUUCUUCCUCAUGUUCCUCGCCAUCUACCUCCUCGGCUACUUUAUCGUUUUCCGCAAACAGUCCACCAAGAUCCGACAAGAAUUCUCCAGCUGCCUCAUUUCGAUCUUCC